rnacentral:rRNA from 1 species
GAUGAACGCUGGCGGCGUGCUUAACACAUGCAAGUCGAACGGUGAACGAGGGAGCUUGCUCCCUCCGGAUCAGUGGCGAACGGGUGAGUAACACGUGAGCAAUCUGCCCUGGACUCUGGGAUAAGCGUUGGAAACGACGUCUAAUACCGGAUACGAGGCGUGGGGGCAUCCCCAACGCCUGGAAAGAACUUCGGUCCAGGAUGAGCUCGCGGCCUAUCAGGUAGUUGGUGAGGUAAUGGCUCACCAAGCCUACGACGGGUAGCCGGCCUGGGAGGGUGACGAGCCACCCUGGGACUGGGACACGGCCCAGGCUCCUACGGGAGGCAGCAGUGGGGAAUAUUGCACAAUGGGCGAAAGCCUGAUGCAGCAACGCCGCGUGAGGGACGACGGCCUUCGGGUUGUAAACCUCUUUUAGCAGGGAAGAAGCGAAAGUGACGGUAAGGGGAGAAGAAGGACCGGCCAACUACGUGCCAGCCGCCGCCGUAAUAC